UCCUGGUGGCUCAGAUGGUAAAGAAUCUGCCUGAAAUGCAGGAGACCCAGGUUCAAUCCCUGGAUCAGGAG
rnacentral:tRNA from 1 species